GACAUUUCUGUGGUAAGAAAUAAAUGAUUUUGUUUCAUAAAUUACAUGUUCAAACUUAAAUGAUCUUGUGUCAGAAUAGUCUGUGCACAAAGUAUCUAUGGAAUAUAUUUAAAGUAGCAGAUGAAUCAUUUAAAACGAACAGUGUGAAGCAUUGUGGCAGCCAGCAUUGAAUUAGACUUAACGUUACAAGUAAAUCAUGUUUUAUUUUAUAUAUUAGCGUUCAUAGAACUGGACUACAUGUCUCAGCAACCUGUUUGCAAAGGAGUUGUCAGUGUUUCUGCGGUAUAUCGCCUGCCCGCUCGCAGAAGCAGUACUGCGGGGUUCACUACAGAGCAUCACUACAGCGUGCGUCGCGUUGUACAGGGACCGCUGAAGGAAGCGCUUGUUGCGAUGUGAUUUCAGACUGUUUCUCCGCUCAAUUAUAUCAAGUAACGUUACAGCAGACAUUUUUUAAACAGUGGGUGAGUAUAUCAUUAUAUUAUGUUGUUGCAUCAAUAAAUAUGUUUAUAAUACAUUUAAACAUGGUUUUUGUUCCUUGUUGUUUCUGUGUUUAGCAUCAGAGAGAGAGAGAGAGAGGGAGAGAGAUGUCGUCUUGAUGUUGUCAUAUGCUUCAUGAAAUCAUGCACGUGCGAUUUGGUAAAAACCUUUAGAGACUGCUGACAAUCAACAUCUUAGACGUGUAGAGACAGAAAGAAAAUGUUGGUGUUGCAGAUCUGGAGAGGGACGCUUGCACUGCUCAUUUGACCAUUUCUCUUCCGUUUGGACAAUCGCUUCAAUACCCCUUGUUGAGAAAAAAACAGCAUCAGAAUGAAUGGUGUCAAUAUCCUGACUGAAGACGUAGAAGUGACAGAGGCAUUAAAGUAACUUAAAGCUGUCUGUUCUUCAGUGUGACAUAUGCAAUAAAUUUCCUUUAGCACUCUUUGUUUGAACUUUUUAGCGGCUACAAAAGACUGUCUAUCCUGAUUCCCAAAUUGUACAACCAUAUUUAUGAUGUAUUAUGAAUUGCUUUGCCAUUAUGAACCUUGUGAUUUUUGGUUUAAUGUGAGUUUGUACAUUUAAAGACUUAACUAUUUGUGGUUGAAUGCUCUCACACUAAAAUUACUUUUAGUGUUGUUUCACUAGUAAGUUAACAUUUUUCUUUAAUUCUUAGAUUAUGUAUCAUUUAUUUUGGUGAUAUUGCUUUCAUUAUUUAUG